UCUGGGUAGAAAUAGUUAUGUUCUUGAAACCCAAAGAAUUUGGCGGUAUUUUAUUCUUUUUAGAGGAACCUGUCCUGUAAUUGACAUUCCACGAUGGAGAUUAACUUAUUCUUGUAAUCAGUUUGUAUACCUCCGUCAUCAGAGUAUCUUUUUAGAGUAAAUAUUCUUAAUAUACUAAAUUUAAUAUGUCAGGUCAAGGUGCAAUUUAUGGAUAAGUAGAGAUGGGUUACAAUAAAUGAUAUAUUUAUACGUAUUGUCUUUAUUAUUAAUGACAUCAAGGUGGAUUUAAAAGUAAAAUUAUUUCCUUAAUAUUUUGACUUUAGCUCUAAAAUAUGCACACAUCGCCCGUCGCUCUUAUUUUAAAAUAAGAUAAGUCGUAACAUAGUAGGAGUACCGGAAGGUGUUCCUAGA
rnacentral:rRNA from 1 species